rnacentral:rRNA from 1 species
CCUACGGGCGGCUGCAGUCGAGAAUCAUUCACAAUGGGGGAAACCCUGAUGGUGCGACGCCGCGUGGGGGAAUGAAGGUCUUCGGAUUGUAAACCCCUGUCAUGUGGGAGCAAAUUAAAAAGAUAGUACCACAAGAGGAAGAGACGGCUAACUCUGUGCCAGCAGCCGCGGUAAUACAGAGGUCUCAAGCGUUGUUCGGAAUCACUGGGCGUAAGGCGUGCGUAGGCUGUUUCGUAAGUCGUGUGUGAAAGGCGCGGGCUCAACCCGCGGACGGCACAUGAUACUGCGAGACUAGAGUAAUGGGGGGGGAACCGGAAUUCUCGGUGUAGCAGUGAAAUGCGUAGAUAUCGAGAGGAACACUCGUGGCGAAGGCGGGUUCCUGGACAUUAACUGACGCUGAGGCACGAAGGCCAGGGGAGCGAAAGGGAUUAGAUACCCGGGUAGUC